rnacentral:rRNA from 1 species
UACGUAGGGGGCAAGCGUUUGUCCGGAAUCAUUGGGCGUAAAAGAGCGUGUAGGCGGCCCGAUAAGUCCGCUGUGAAAGUCCAGGGCUCAACCCUGGAAUGCCAGUGGAAACUGUCGGGCUAGAGUCCGGAAGAGGCGAGUGGAAUUCCUGGUGUAGCGGUGAAAUGCGCAGAUAUCAGGAGGAACACCAAUGGCGAAGGCAGCUCGCUGGGACGGUACUGGCGCUGAGACGCGAAAGCGUGGGGAGCAAACAGG